GACGAACGCUGGCGGCGUGCUUAACACAUGCAAGUCGAACGGAAAGGCCCUGCUUUUGUGGGGUGCUCGAGUGGCGAACGGGUGAGUAACACGUGAGUAACCUGCCCUUGACUUUGGGAUAACUUCAGGAAACUGGGGCUAAUAUCGGAUAGGAGCUCCUGCUGCAUGGUGGGGGUUGGAAAGUUUCGGCGGUUGGGGAUGGACUCGCGGCUUAUCAGCUUGUUGGUGGGGUAGUGGCUUACCAAGGCUUUGACGGGUAGCCGGCCUGAGAGGGUGACCGGCCACAUUGGUACUGAGAUACGGCCCAGACUCCUACGGUAGGCAGCGGUGGGGAAUAUUACACAAUGAGCGGAAGCCUGAUGCAGCAGCGCUGCGUUCGUGAUAACGGCCUUCGAGUUGUGAACCGCUUUCGCAUGUGACGAAGCGUGAGUGACGGUAAUGGGUAAAGAAGCACCGGCUAACUACGUG
rnacentral:rRNA from 1 species